CUCAACAUGUCUUUAAAUUCUCCAGAGGCCUGGUAAUGAACUAAUCAUUUGAUUCAGGUGUGUUGACCCAGGUACUAAUCAGGUGGAACCAGACGAUCUUCCACGGCACACCGGUUGGGAAACACUGGUCUACUAUACAACUCCACAUUUGUAAAUGGACUCCAGGUCUCUCCUCUUAGAUGUGCUGUCUCUGUACAAGAAUGAGUGUUUCUGUUUGGGUGUCAAGCUGUUGAGAGGAGCCUACAUGGACAAAGAGAGAAAACUAGCGAUGAAAGAGGGUCACCAGGACCCCAUCCAUCAGAGCUGGGAGGACACCAAUGACAGUCCACAGAUUGCUUGGGGUGGGCGAGUGGGAUCACCUGAUCGGAGACGGCCAGAUUCUCGCUGUCCUCUGCGAUGUUCUCUCCGAUGAAGAUGUUGUUGUGCUCAAAGAGAAUGUCCAGCAGCUCAUCUAUACAA